rnacentral:rRNA from 1 species
CCCCUAGUAACUGCGAGGAAGCGGGAAAGCUCAAAUUUAAAAUCUGGCAGUCUUUGGCUGUCCGAGUUGUAAUCUAGAGAAGUGCUAUCCGUGCUGGACCGUGUACAAGUCUCCUGGAAUGGAGCGUCACAGAGGGUGAGAAUCCCGUCUUUGACACGGACUCCCCAGUACAUUGUGAUGUGCUCUCAAAGAGUCGAGUUGUUUGGGAAUGCAGCUCUAAAUGGGUGGUAAAUUCCAUCUAAAGCUAAAUAUUGGCGAGAGACCGAUAGCGAACAAGUACCGUGAGGGAAAGAUGAAAAGAACUUUGGAAAGAGAGUUAAACAGUACGUGAAAUUGUUGAAAGGGAAACGCUUGAAGUCAGUCAUGUUGGCCAGGGAUCAACCCUGCUUUUUUGCUGGGUGUACUUCCUGGUUGAUAGGUCAGCAUCAAUUUUGACCACUGGAAAAAGGCUGAGGGAAUGUGGCAUCUUCGGAUGUGUUAUAGCCCUUGGUUGUAUACAGUGGUUGGGAUUGAGGAACUCAGCAUGCCGCAAGGCCAGGUCUUUGACCAUGUUCAUGCUUAGGAUGCUGGCAUAAUGGCUUUAAUCGACCCGUCUUGAAACACGGACCAAGGAGUCUAACAUGCCUGCGAGUGUUUGGGUGGAAAACCCGAGCGCGUAAUGAAAGUGAAAGUUGAGAUCCCUGUCGUGGGGAGCAUCGACGCCCGGACCAGAACUUUUGGGACGGAUCUGCGGUAGAGCAUGUAUGUUGGGACCCGAAAGAUGGUGAACUAUGCCUGAAUAGGGCGAAGCCAGAGGAAACUCUGGUGGAGGCUCGUAGCGAUUCUGACGUGCAAAUCGAUCGUCGAA